CUACGGGGUGCAGCAGGGCGCGAAAACUACGCAAUGCGCGAAAGCGUGACGUGGGAACUCCAAGUGCCUUGCCUUAGGGUAAGGCUUUUGUUUAGUAUAAGUAGCUAAACGAAUAAGUGCUGGGUAAGACCGGUGCCAGCCGCCGCGGUAACACCGGCAGCACAAGUGGUGACCGCUUUUAUUGGGCCUAAAGCGUUCGUAGCCGGUUUGGUAAGUCUUUGGGUAAAUCCUUCGGCUUAACCGAAGGACUUCCGAAGAUACUGCCAGACUUGGAGUUGAGAGAAGUCAGAGGUACCUCUGGGGUAGGGGUGAAAUCCUAUAAUCCUGGGGGGACCACCAGUGGCGAAGGCGUCUGACUAGAGCAAGCUCGACGGUGAGGGACGAAAGCCAGGGGCGCGAACGGGAUUAGAUACCCCGGUAGUCCUGGCCGUAAACGCUGCGCGCUAGGUGUUGCAUGCUCUACGAGGGCGUGCAGUGCCGAAGAGAAGUUGAUAAGCGUGCCGCCUGGGAAGUAUUACCGCAAGGUAGAAACUUAAAGGAAUUGGCGGGGGAGCACCACAAGGGGUGGAGUCUGCGGUUCAAUUGGAUUCAACGCCGGGAAACUCACCGGGAGCGACGGCAGAAUGAUAGCCAAGCUGAUGACUUUGCUUGACGAGCCGAGA
rnacentral:rRNA from 1 species